GAUGGGUGACACCACCCCCUUCUCUCUUCCAGGGCCUGGCAGGCACCCAGAGACUCCACCGAGGGGUGGCAGAAGCAUGAAAUUCUACACCAUGGCUCGCACCCAGACACUGCUUCAAACCCCCUUGCCCGCUCCAGGGGCCGUACCCACACACUUCAACUGAGCAGGGACGUCCGACUCUCUGACCACCGCCCAGCAUGCUGCACCCCCAUGCCCUUUCCUCCCUCCACCCCCAAACCUGAAAGGAUGCCUUCAUGCCUUCAGGGGUGGAACCUGAACUUUUCUGACCUGGGAGAGGUGCCACCAUGGACUUUCCUGACCCAAGUCCUGCCUCCUGCUGUACCCUGUGGCCUGGUCCUGAGCCUGGGCCUCAUUCCAGCUCCAGAGAAUACAGACAGGGACCCAUGAAGUGCUUUACACCGAGUAACUCACUCACUCCUCACCCUUUGAGUUUUCCCCAGGUAUAAUUGACAUCCAGUAAGCUACAUGUAAAGUACAAUUUGGUCUUGAAACAUGGCGCACCUGUGAAACCAUCAUCACAAACGAGAUGAUGAACUAACAAUCACCUGAAAGUUUUCUCACGAUCUUUUGUAACGCCUCCCUUCCCAUUUUUAAUCCCUUCCCCUAGCAACCACUGGUUUGUUGUCACUAGAGAUUAGCUUGCACUUCCUCAAUUUUAUGUGAAGUCAUGGGGUAUGCACUAUUUUUUUUUUUUUUUUUU